rnacentral:ncRNA from 2 species
GUUCUGCGGCAUCGCGACCGUCUAUACUCUCCGCUGCCGCAGCGUCAGGGAAGCCGGUGGAAAUCCGGCGCGGCCCCGCCGCUGUAACCGGAAACGAAACCGCAUUCAGCCAUCGCCCCGAACGGCGAGAAGGCGCGGGA